rnacentral:lncRNA from 1 species
ACACCUGUUCUUUUAUAAGCACUCAGCGAUGGAUACAGUUGUAGACACACCUGUUCCUCAACCGAGGCAACAUUGUCAACCUCGACAAGCUGGCUACCGACCAGUACAACGCCUGCCAUGUCAGCGGCAUCCAGCGCCUUGCAUUUGCGCUCUGCAAGGCACUCGCAAAACUUUAUGUCCGGAAUUCCUCAUGACCUCGACUUUAACUAAGCUCCCCUUCGUUCACGUCUCCGGUCUCCGCUGAAGAUAAGCGCCACACAGCGGAAUGCGGAGAGAAAAGCCAGCAGGCGUCACAAAGGGGAGCUGCUUUUUCUAAGGCGCUAGAUAGCUUACUCGCCCACGGUACGACUUGCAGUGGCUGGAAGUUAAUAGAAAAAAAAAAUAAUAAUAAUAAAAGGUAUAAACGGCUCUAAAGUCUGGACACUCGUUACACUGGGUUUUCAAGCCGACGUC